rnacentral:rRNA from 1 species
AUACGGGGGGUGCAAGCGUUAAUCGGAAUUACUGGGCGUAAAGCGCGCGUAGGCGGUUUGCUCAGUCGGAUGUGAAAGCCCAGGGCUCAACCUUGGAACUGCAUACGAUACCGGCAAACUAGAGUGUGAGAGAGGAUAGUGGAAUUUCCGGUGUAGCGGUGAAAUGCGUAGAUAUCGGAAGGAACAUCAGUGGCGAAGGCGACUGUCUGGCUCAACACUGACGCUGAGGUGCGAAAGCGUGGGUAGCAAACAGGAUUAGAUACCCCAGUAGUCC